UUGGGAGGAACGUCAACUAAGACCCGCCACAUCCUGUGGCGAACGUUGACGUCAGCACAUCCUGUGCA
rnacentral:sRNA from 1 species